GAUGAACGCUGGCGGCGUGCCUAAUACAUGCAAGUCGAGCGAACGGACGAGAAGCUUGCUUCUCUGAUGUUAGCGGCGGACGGGUGAGUAACACGUGGAUAACCUACCUAUAAGACUGGGAUAACUUCGGGAAACCGGGGCUAAUACCGGAUAAUAUUUUGAACCGCAUGGUUCAAAAGUGAAAGACGGUCUUGCUGUCACUUAUAGAUGGAUCCGCGCUGCAUUAGCUAGAUGGUAAGGUAACGGCUUACCAAGGCAACGAUGCAUAGCCGACCUGAGAGGGUGAUAGGCCGCCUGGGAACUGAGACACGGUCCAGGCUCCUACGGGAGGCAGCAGUAGGGAAUCGUCCGCAAUGGGCGAAAGCCUGACGGAGCAACGCCGCGUGAGUGAUGAAGGUCUUCGGAUCGUAAAAAUCUGUUAUUAGGGAAGAACAUAUGUGUAAGGAAAUGUGCACAUCUUGACGGUAACUAAUCAGAAAGCCACGGCUAACUACGUG
rnacentral:rRNA from 1 species